rnacentral:rRNA from 1 species
GAUGAACGCUAGCUACAGGCUUAACACAUGCAAGUCGAGGGGCAGCAUGGAAGAAGCUUGCUUUUCUGAUGUUAGCGGCGGACGGGUGAGUAACACGUGGAUAACCUACCUAUAAGACUGGGAUAACUUCGGGAAACCGGAGCUAAUACCGGAUAAUAUUUUGAACCGCAUGGUUCAAAAGUGAAAGACGGUCUUGCUGUCACUUAUAGAUGGAUCCGCGCUGCAUUAGCUAGUUGGUAAGGUAACGGCUUACCAAGGCAACGAUGCAUAGCCGACCUGAGAGGGUGAUCGGCCACACUGGAACUGAGACACGGUCCAGACUCCUACGGGAGGCAGCAGUAGGGAAUCUUCCGCAAUGGGCGAAAGCCUGACGGAGCAACGCCGCGUGAGUGAUGAAGGUCUUCGGAUCGUAAAACUCUGUUAUUAGGGAAGAACAUAUGUGUAAGUAACUGUGCACAUCUUGACGGUACCUAAUCAGAAAGCCACGGCUAACUACGUGCCAGCAGCCGCGGUAAUACGUAGGUGGCAAGCGUUAUCCGGAAUUAUUGGGCGUAAAGCGCGCGUAGGCGGUUUUUUAAGUCUGAUGUGAAAGCCCACGGCUCAACCGUGGAGGGUCAUUGGAAACUGGAAAACUUGAGUGCAGAAGAGGAAAGUGGAAUUCCAUGUGUAGCGGUGAAAUGCGCAGAGAUAUGGAGGAACACCAGUGGCGAAGGCGACUUUCUGGUCUGUAACUGACGCUGAUGUGCGAAAGCGUGGGGAUCAAACAGGAUUAGAUACCCUGGUAGUCCACGCCGUAAACGAUGAGUGCUAAGUGUUAGGGGGUUUCCGCCCCUUAGUGCUGCAGCUAACGCAUUAAGCACUCCGCCUGGGGAGUACGACCGCAAGGUUGAAACUCAAAGGAAUUGACGGGGACCCGCACAAGCGGUGGAGCGUGUGGUUUAAUUCGAAGCAACGCGAAGAACCUUACCAAAUCUUGACAUCCUUUGACAACUCUAGAGAUAGAGCCUUCCCCUUCGGGGGACAAAGUGACAGGUGGUGCAUGGUUGUCGUCAGCUCGUGUCGUGAGAUGUUGGGUUAAGUCCCGCAACGAGCGCAACCCUUAAGCUUAGUUGCCAUCAUUAAGUUGGGCACUCUAAGUUGACUGCCGGUGACAAACCGGAGGAAGGUGGGGAUGACGUCAAAUCAUCAUGCCCCUUAUGAUUUGGGCUACACACGUGCUACAAUGGACAAUACAAAGGGCAGCGAAACCGCGAGGUCAAGCAAAUCCCAUAAAGUUGUUCUCAGUUCGGAUUGUAGUCUGCAACUCGACUACAUGAAGCUGGAAUCGCUAGUAAUCGUAGAUCAGCAUGCUACGGUGAAUACGUUCCCGGGUCU